GCCCGGCUAGCUCAAUCGGUAGAGCGUGAGACUCUUAAUCUCAAGGUUGUGGGUUCGACCCGUAAGUUCAAACAUCGCACCAGCAUCUUGAUCAUCGUUACUAACAAGCACUAGCCACGUCGGGCUCA